rnacentral:rRNA from 1 species
UACGAGUGGUGCAAGCGUUAUUCGGAUUUAUUGGGUGUAAAGGGUGCGCAGACGGUUUAUUAAGUCACUUGUUAAAUUCUCUGGCUUAACUAGAGGCAAGCGGGUGAAACUGAUGAACUAGAGGGUGGAAGAGAGAAGUGGAAUUCUCGGAGUAGCGGUAAAAUGCGUAGAUCUCGAGAGGAACACCAAUGGCGAAGGCAGCUUCUUGGUCCAUUUCUGACGUUCAGGCACGAAAGCGUGGGGAGCAAACAGG